GAACUCACUGCGUACUUUGAUUUCUUGAUGGCUGACUAUGAGUACUGAAAACUCCAACCCCGCAGCGUGUAGUGCUGUGUGCCUCUCCUUAUAGAGUUAAACUCAGCCAGGCCUGCCCGAGAGAAACGCUAAACCGGCGCCACAUUCCUGCAGGAACUCUGUCACAGUCUCAGCUCAAACUGGCCUCCAGAUGGACAAGGUGAAGAGACAGAGGCCAUACCCAUGAGGAAGAGACUCUUGGCAGACAUGGAAUCUACUGUCACCUUAUUCUUGGAUUCUUAAGCCUCCUAAACAUUGAGUGAGUCCAGCUGGACCUGUCAAUCACCUCGCCGGGAGACUACCCCUCAGGAAAACUGAUUCACCUGAAGAUGCUACAGAGAUGGGGGAAAUAAUUAUUCUCUUAAUGAGAUAACAUGUGUAUACCUCCCUGAGAAGUCCCUCCCUCAAUCCAGCUGUUUGCAGAUCUUUCCUACUAAGACAGCCUGCUUUCCCCAGUUCUAACUCCAAAACUGUAACUUCUCCUUUCCCCUUGUCUCAUUUUUGGCUACUGGCCAAAACCUCAUCCUGCUUCCAACCUCUGUACACUCUCUUUCUUUAACCCCCUCCAAGCCCCAGUUGCUUGGCGCCCUUCCUUGCCGAACCUGCCGACUCUCCUGAAACCUACCUCGGAAGGCAUGCCAUGCUCUCCUCUCCAGCUCCCCUUUCCAGGCAGCAGUUGAGGUUUGUAGCUUCCUGACCUUGUGGUUUACUCCUGAGCGCCAAUAAAAGAGUCCACAAGC
rnacentral:lncRNA from 1 species